ACACAUGCAGUCGAACGAUGAAGCCCUUCGGUGGAUUAGUGGCGAACGGGUGAGUAACACGUGGGCAAUCUGCCCUUCACUCUGGGACAAGCCCUGGAAACGGGGUCUAAUACCGGAUAAUACUUUCUUCCUCCUGGGAGAAGGUUGAAAGCUCCGGCGGUGAAGGAUGAGCCCGCGNCUAUCAGCUAGUUGGUGGGGUAAUGGCCUACCAAGGCGACGACGGGUAGCCGGCCUGAGAGGGCGACCGGCCACACUGGGACUGAGACACGGCCCAGACUCCUACGGGAGGCAGCAGUGGGGAAUAUUGCACAAUGGGCGA
rnacentral:rRNA from 1 species